AUCGCUUCUCAGCCUUUUGGCUAAGAUCAAGUGUAGUAUCUGUUCUUAUCAGUUUAAUAUCUGAUAUGUCCUCUAUUUGAGGACUAUGAACAACAACUACCAGACUUUUAGAAGACAUCUGAAGGCAGCCCUGUUUAGGGAAGCUUUUAAUGUUUGAUGUAUUAUAGUAUUUUAAUAUUUUUUGGGAAGCCGCC